GCUUGCGUUAUGGUUAGUAAAUGGGAGGUGUUAACUUACUAAGCCCACUAACCACAAUUAUUCUAUUUUUCAUAAAAUAGAAGGAAUAUUGUGAAAAGAGGGAUUGCAGCAUUUGGGAGAAGAGAAAGAACGUGAAAACCUGAAGAGAUUUGGAAAGGGGAAGACCGAAGAUCAAACCUAAGAUUGAGGAGUAGCGGCUUAGCUGAUUUGGUGAGAAUAGCUCUUAGAGUUCGUCCAUGAGUCGUGUCGGUCAUGCUCUGAUUGUAACACUGGGGAACGCUAGUUUAGAGAUGAAUUACUCUAUUUUGAUUUUGUUGUUUCAAACUUAGUUUGGAUUAAUUUGCAUGGAUGAUGAAUAUGCAACGUUAUGAAUUAUGAUCCGCUGUGUUGAACAUGAAUGGUGUUUAUGUUAAA